UUUGCGGCACCACGGGUGCAGCCGCCCUGCUGCGCCUGUGCCGUUGGGGCAGAGAGGAAGCGGCUAUUUCUACGCUCAGUGCUCAGAACCGUGGGCACUAAGAAUGGUUUGUAGCCGAACAUC
rnacentral:snoRNA from 1 species